UUGAUUGAUUCAAAUAUGACUCGGACGCACAGAUGCAGCGUUGAGGGGUCCGCCGGGGGCCCCGGGGCGCCCGAGGACGGGCGCCGGGUCACCCCCGAGGCAACAGGGUCGGUAGACAGAGGGUUGGAGGUCGGGCCCGGAGACCCUCACUCGGUAAUGAUCCCUCCGCAGGUUCACCUACGGAGA
rnacentral:misc_RNA from 1 species